UUAAAUUGAAGAGUUUGAUCAUGGCUCAGAUUGAACGCUGGCGGCAGGCCUAACACAUGCAAGUCGAACGGUAACAGGAAGCAGCUUGCUGCUUUGCUGACGAGUGGCGGACGGGUGAGUAAUGUCUGGGAAACUGCCYGAUGGAGGGGGAUAACUACUGGAAACGGUAGCUAAUACCGCAUAACGUCGCAAGACCAAAGAGGGGGACCUUCGGGCCUCUUGCCAUCGGAUGUGCCCAGAUGGGAUUAGCUAGUAGGUGGGGUAACGGCUCACCUAGGCGACGAUCCCUAGCUGGUCUGAGAGGAUGACCAGCCACACUGGAACUGAGACACGGUCCAGACUCCUACGGGAGGCAGCAGUGGGGAAUAUUGCACAAUGGGCGCAAGCCUGAUGCAGCCAUGCCGCGUGUAUGAAGAAGGCCUUCGGGUUGUAAAGUACUUUCAGCGGGGAGGAAGGGAGUAAAGUUAAUACCUUUGCUCAUUGACGUUACCCGCAGAAGAAGCACCGGCUAACUCCGUGCCAGCAGCCGCGGUAAUACGGAGGGUGCAAGCGUUAAUCGGAAUUACUGGGCGUAAAGCGCACGCAGGCGGUUUGUUAAGUCAGAUGUGAAAUCCCCGGGCUCAACCUGGGAACUGCAUCUGAUACUGGCAAGCUUGAGUCUCGUAGAGGGGGGUAGAAUUCCAGGUGUAGCGGUGAAAUGCGUAGAGAUCUGGAGGAAUACCGGUGGCGAAGGCGGCCCCCUGGACGAAGACUGACGCUCAGGUGCGAAAGCGUGGGGAGCAAACAGGAUUAGAUACCCUGGUAGUCCACGCCGUAAACGAUGUCGACUUGGAGGUUGUGCCCUUGAGGCGUGGCUUCCGGAGCUAACGCGUUAAGUCGACCGCCUGGGGAGUACGGCCGCAAGGUUAAAACUCAAAUGAAUUGACGGGGGCCCGCACAAGCGGUGGAGCAUGUGGUUUAAUUCGAUGCAACGCGAAGAACCUUACCUGGUCUUGACAUCCACGGAAGUUUUCAGAGAUGAGAAUGUGCCUUCGGGAACCGUGAGACAGGUGCUGCAUGGCUGUCGUCAGCUCGUGUUGUGAAAUGUUGGGUUAAGUCCCGCAACGAGCGCAACCCUUAUCCUUUGUUGCCAGCGGUCCGGCCGGGAACUCAAAGGAGACUGCCAGUGAUAAACUGGAGGAAGGUGGGGAUGACGUCAAGUCAUCAUGGCCCUUACGACCAGGGCUACACACGUGCUACAAUGGCGCAUACAAAGAGAAGCGACCUCGCGAGAGCAAGCGGACCUCAUAAAGUGCGUCGUAGUCCGGAUUGGAGUCUGCAACUCGACUCCAUGAAGUCGGAAUCGCUAGUAAUCGUGGAUCAGAAUGCCACGGUGAAUACGUUCCCGGGCCUUGUACACACCGCCCGUCACACCAUGGGAGUGGGUUGCAAAAGAAGUAGGUAGCUUAACCUUCGGGAGGGCGCUUACCACUUUGUGAUUCAUGACUGGGGUGAAGUCGUAACAAGGUAACCGUAGGGGAACCUGCGGUUGGAUCACCUCCUUACCUUAAAGAAGC
rnacentral:rRNA from 1 species